rnacentral:lncRNA from 10 species
GCCGAAUAGGAACAGCUCCGGUCUACAGCUCCCAGCGUGAGCGACGCAGAAGACGGGUGAUUUCUGCAUUUCCAUCUGAGAUUCUUUCUGCAGAUGAUAAAACAUCAGUUGAAGAAGUUCAUUUGGGUAAAGAGAUGGAUAAUAUUUGGAUAUACAUGAACUCUUGGACCAUCAUCAAUAGCUUUGUUCUAUAUUAAGGCAUAAGGACAGAUGCUGAUACCAUCUCCUUUACAAGAGGAGAAUAAUACACUUCACUGCUACUUUCAGAUGUGAUACCAUGGCAUAGCUGCUGCUGGGAAAGCUCACAGGUUUGAUUUCGACUUGAAAUUUCUACCUUUGAACCAUGCAGGUCAUUUUGUUACUGUCAGUGGUCAGCAUAUCUACUGCGUUGUUGUGAACCAGGAUGACGUAUUGUUAAGGCAAUUAUCCGUGUUGAAGAGAAACACGUCGCUGCUGCUUGCUUGAUGUGGCUGCAACAACAAAGCUGUUUUGACUACUCUAGGGACUUGAAGCUGCUAUUCCCUCAUGAUCCUGACACCUGGAAUUUGCACCUCACAGGACCCCAGCCUUGCUGCUCUGCCCAUUGACCUCUGCCACCCUCCAUACCGGGUGUGAGUUACCACCAGAAGAAGUCUCCUGGGAGAUGUUUUCUGUUGUUUGAAUUCUGAUGAAGCAGUGUCUUUCUUUCAGCUCACCAAAUCAAUCAAGCCAAGAAAACCUAAAAAUCGAUAUCCA